rnacentral:tRNA from 1 species
GCCUGGCUGGCUCAGUUGAUAGGGCAUAUGACUCUUGAUCUCAGGGUUGUGAGUUCAAACCCCAUGUUGGGCA